rnacentral:rRNA from 1 species
AGCGUAGACGGCAAGGCAAGUCUGAUGUGAAAACCCAGGGCUUAACCUUGGGACUGCAUUGGAAACUGUCUGGCUCGAGUGCCGGAGAGGUAAGCGGAAUUCCUAGUGUAGCGGUGAAAUGCGUAGAUAUUAGGAAGAACACCAGUGGCGAAGGCGGCUUACUGGACGGUAACUGACGUUGAGGCUCGAAAGCGUGGGGAGCAAACA